rnacentral:rRNA from 1 species
AUUGAACGCUGGCGGCAGGCUUAACACAUGCAAGUCGAGCGGGGUGAUGGUGCUUGCACUAUCACUUAGCGGCGGACGGGUGGGUAAUGCUUAGGAAUCUGCAUAUUAGUGGGGGACAACAUCUCGAAAGGGAUGCUAAUACCGCAUACGUCCUACGGGAGAAAGCAGGGGAUCACUUGUGACCUUGCGCUAAUAGAUGAGCCUAAGUCGGAUUAGCGAGUUGGUGGGGUAAAGGCCUACCAAGGCGACGAUCUGUAGCGGGUCUGAGAGGAUGAUCCGCCACACUGGGACUGAGACACGGCCCAGACUCCUACGGGAGGCAGCAGUGGGGAAUAUUGGACAAUGGGGGGAACCCUGAUCCAGCCAUGCCGCGUGUGUGAAGAAGGCCUUAUGGUUGUAAAGCACUUUAAGCGAGGAGGAGGCUCUUUUGGUUAAUACCCAAGAUGAGUGGACGUUACUCGCAGAAUAAGCACCGGCUAACUCUGUGCCAGCCGCCGCCGUAA